UUUACCGUGAGGCAAGCAGUGAAGGAAGCGAGACUACAAAACCCGGUACUGACGAACAGAAACCGAAUAUGAGGCAUAUAUACUUGGGUGAGCAAGCACACCAUUGCUAAGCCCUAAGUUUACAAAAAGGGUAUAUAUGUAGAUUCGGCAGGUAUUGGAGGAAGGAAAAUGCU
rfam:Freshwater sediment metagenome lwFormaldehyde_BCIB36429_b1, whole genome shotgun sequence.